rnacentral:rRNA from 1 species
GACGAACCGUGCGAACGUUGUUCGGAAUCACUGGGCUUAAAGGGCGCGUAGGCGGCUUGCCAAGUCAGGGGUGAAAUCCUGCAGCUUAACUGUAGAAGGGCCUUUGAUACUGGCGAGCUCGAGGGAGGUAGGGGUAUGUGGAACUUCCGGUGGAGCGGUGAAAUGCGUUGAUAUCGGAAGGAACGCCGGUGGCGAAAGCGACGUACUGGACCUCUUCUGACGCUGAGGCGCGAAAGCUAGGGGGAGCAAACGGGG